rnacentral:rRNA from 1 species
UACGUAGGGGGCUAGCGUUGUCCGGAAUCAUUGGGCGUAAAGCGCGUGUAGGCGGUCCGGUAAGUCCGCUGUGAAAGUCGGGGGGCUCAACCCUCGGAUGCCGGUGGAUACUGUCGGGCUUGAGUACGGAAGAGGCGAGUGGAAUUCCCGGUGUAGCGGUGAAAUGCGCAGAUAUCGGGAGGAACACCAGUAGCGAAGGCGGCUCGCUGGGCCACACCUGACGCUGAGACGCGAAAGCUA